GUACCUACUUAAUAAAAAUCCACAUAUUAAUGGCUUACGGCCUUAUUCAUAAAAAAUCCUUAAAUCGUUGAUGAUCUACGUUUUAGUUAAACAACUGUUUAGGCUUAUUUCACGGUUGUUAUGAGGUUGUAUUCAUAAACCCAUUUUAACAGCACAAUAACUAAUAUGCACUUGAUGAACUGUUUAGGCUUAUUAUGUUGGCAUUAUUGACAAAUCAUAGACAAAAACGUGGCUGAACUUUAAAUUAAAAAAAAGUUUGACAGCCAUUUGACAGCCGCUCUAGAAGGGAAAUCGUAAAUUUAGAAACUAGAUGGAUGGUUUUAUUGUUUUAUUUAACCUAUGAUCUGAAUUCAUAUUAAUAUUUCAAUAGGAAUAGCGUCUGUGGCACAUUCAUAAAUAAGAUAAGAUCGUGUGACGGGCGAUUUUAUUUUAACCUCGGCGACCAGCGACCACCAUACAAUUGAUACAAUCCGCGCGUUGUGAGCCUUUUCAACAUUGACACUAUAAUAUAAUCCGCAUCUAUAAUCGAUGAAGGCAAACCAGAUUCUGACAAUUCCAUCUUCAGCUUGGGACCGAGCAGCAGCAGCAGAGGGAGGCAGCAAACUGUAACAAAUAAAAACUAUAACUACCAUGAUUUUCAGCAAAUGUUAAUAAAUAUUUUUA